GACCGCUUUGGUGGCCUAGUGGUUAAAGUGUCUGCCUCAGAUGCGGGAGGUAAUGGGUUCGAAACUUUAUCCAAGUCU